CCACGUCGUCGUACAUUCUAACGGAGGAAAACAAGUGGUAUAUAAGUUUUAAGUCGGUACUGAAGCUAGUCGUCUGCUUUUGUUUGUUUUUGUUUUUUUUGUUUUGAACAUACAUGAGUAAAGAUAUAUUACUGCUUCAGCAUAGUUAUUAGGAUCUUUUUAAGACGGUUUUCGUAGAAUAAAUUCGGCCUUAAUUUAAAGCUGCCCCAUUUUUUUUUUAUAGCAAAGCCGACCAAUCUUAAACAUAACAUUUC
rnacentral:lncRNA from 1 species